UACAGAGGUCUCAAGCGUUGUUCGGAUUCAUUGGGCGUAAAGGGUGCGUAGGUGGCGCGGUAAGUCGGGUGUGAAAUUUCGGAGCUUAACUCCGAAACUGCAUUCGAUACUGCCGUGCUUGAGGACUGGAGAGGAGACCGGAAUUUACGGUGUAGCAGUGAAAUGCGUAGAGAUCGUAAGGAAGACCAGUGGCGAAGGCGGGUCUCUGGACAGUUCCUGACGCUGAGGCACGAAGGUCAGGGGAGCAAACGGG
rnacentral:rRNA from 1 species